UACUUGCUACUUUUCCGGUGCCUUAUAUUUGUAGUUACUACUUUCUUUCAGUUUUUAUUACUUGAAUGUUUUAAAACAUUUACUGUGGAAAUUUAUUUGAUCGAUUUUCCAUUGCUUUGGGAAUUGGGGAAACUAACUGGAUGCCGUGAUAUACAUAUCAUUACGUGUGUGUUAGUAAUGUACAUUACUAACCAAUUGCGAGUCUGAAAUUUGUUCUGUUUUGAAGAUGUCGCAGUGUGCCAUAUCUGUAGUCUAAAGCUAAGUAAGAAUAACAAUCUCAGCAAGAGGACAAAACCCAUCGAUUGCAAUUUAGAACAGCUGGCAGGUCCAAUUAUGACCAUUGCGGUUGGCAUUAGAUAAUAUGGUCAGUCGAGCACUGUUGUAGACUUGAAGGAGUUCAAGAAAAAUGUAGGAAAUGACAGAGUGAUUAGUGGGACAGAGGAUUCUCUCAAAGGCUGGUAGGUAUCGAGAAGGAGUUUGAUGUUAUGUAAGUACAGGAGGAGAAGAAGAUUAGGCUUGCAUUGAGGUAGGGGUUUUAUUUUUUAUUUUUUUUCCGCAUUUUUUUAAAUUUCAGUUUCACUUUGUGCUCACCAUUUUCAGGCCAUGAGAGUUUAAUAAUUUCUUCUGAUGAUCUACAUUUCCAGUCAGGUGUGUGAGAUAGGUUUUGUGUUGCUUAAUCUAUAAUACGACGUUGUAAAAGUUUGCUGGAGUCAUUUUACCUAUUCGGAAAAAAAAAAAAAAAAACUUAGCUAAAAACAGUGUUUUCGAUGCUUGCCCUAUAUUAGUUUUCAAUCAACUUUCUCCAUGAUUUUUGCGUUGAUACUUGAUUGAUACUGCAAGUCCCAGUAAGAAUAGAAAUUGGAAAAUUGAAUUUUGAACUUUGAAUUUCUUCUUGACUUGCCAACAUUGCUGAAAGAGAAUUUCUUCUUGACUUGCCAACUAUCAUAAGCCUUACUAUUUGUUUUGAAAGGAAAUUGUUAACCCUCCGGAAUACUUACUUUGACAUCCGUGAUUCCCAUAUCUUCACUUUGAUUUAACUGCAUACUUAGUCACUUCUUGUUAACAUAUGCUCCAAUUUUGAAAGUUGCAAACGAUUUUUUUUAUAGGCUCUAAUAUUUUGUCAGGGUUGAUCGACUAAUCGUGGUUCAAAGAAAUGCGCAAUCCUAAUUCUGAUUAAUUUUGGCUUAAAUUUUAACCACUGGGUAGAGUUGAGUUCCCAUUUAAAAAAAAAAAACUUAAUUCAUCGUAAUGCCGAUUUUCCCUUGAAUGAAAAACCGUGGUGACAGUUAUAGUUUCUAACCCUUUUCUUAGUUACCCACCUUGUAGUCACCACUUGGAACUUUUUGCAUGCAAUCCCUUGUUUGUUUAACUGCUUUUGAUCAAAGAAAAAUGAACUUCCUGUGGUUUACAACACCCAUGGUCUGAACUAGUAAAUGUCACAUCUCCCCUUUUCAUAUAAUGAUUUAGUACUUCAAACUCGUUCAAUAAUUCUCCGAAAUUCUCUUUAUAUCUUGGAAAUGAUAUUCAUUUGAUUCCAUUUGAAAUUAUGCUUCCAUUUCAAUGUAUUUACUUAAAAGAUUUCUGAUAAAUAUUUAGUCUAGCUAAAUGGGGCUUGUGUCAAUAUUUGUUUUUCCUAGCUUUGUCCUUUUGUGUCUCAUGUGCUUGUUGGACAAGAACAUUUUCUACCUUUUCAUAGUGUCAAGUGUUAACUUUAAACUAGUGUCUACCUGUUAUUGCACGUGUGAUCCCUUUUUAUUUAAGCUUAUGACUUGCGCAAGCUUUCCUAAUACACUUUGACAACUAAUACAUAUAUAAAAUCUUUUUUUACACUUGCCAUAAUUUUUAUGCCGAUUAGAUGAGUGUGUCCUGAACUACUAGUUAGAGGAGUCUCAGAAAGAACAUUGUUCUAUUUAAAUUAGGGCGUCUUGCAUAUCCACGAGAGAAAGCAAAGCAAAGCAUUUAUGACCAGAAGGACUGUUACAACCAUUGGACUUCGUUGGUAUGAAUUUUGGCAGGGAAAAGAUAGUAGUAGUGUGACCAUUAGUCGACUAACAAAGUCAACUUGUUUUCUUUCGAUAGAACAUAUAGACAUUGUCAUACCCUAUGCAACUUUUACUUCAAAGAAAUUGUCAUGGUACACCGAAUUCCUUUGUCGGUCGGUUAGAGUAAGACCUGUUGUAAAUGUCCAAGUAUCACGAGAGUUUCUAACAAGCUAUAGGAUCGAGCUAGAUACGGGUUUCGCAUUUCACCUUCGGUAGAUGCUGAUUUAGAACAGACUUCUCAGGUUCCGGAAGAUAUAUAUCAGGCAUGCGUGAUCGACUACAGAUACAAAGUGAAAGGAGCAUAUUGGGUCCAGAAGUGUUUGAAGAAACUACUUCAAAUAUCAAAGUCAUCCGAAAGCGAUUGAAAACAACAGAAUGCGUCAAAGAGUUAUGCCGAUUCCAGAAGGUGACCACUGGAUUUUAAAAUUUGGAGCGAUUCACAGCCGAAUGGCGACGCAAUUUACAGUGGAAGCCAGUACAAGGUAACAAGAUCUUCGAACAAAAACUACCUUGACGGUGAAAGUAGUAUAUUGCAGUAUUUUGAAGAAGCAACCUGGGAAUUCAAGCCCGAUGCGCAAAGAACAAGACAAGUACCAGGAGUAAGGUAACCUUCAUAGCCUUUUCGUUUAUUUUUGAAUUUGGGGGACCAAAUUCUUUUUUAGGUGUUGAUGGUGUAACAACCGCCUAAAUUAUCUGGUUGGCUUUAAGUUCGAGUUCAACCCAUUCGAGUGGGAAACUAGAGUUUUGUAGUGUUCGCGUGCAAUCCUGGUAGCAGAUAGGAAUAGCCAUGGUGAGUUCCAUAAUCAUAAAAUGAGUGCCUAAAACUAAAUAGACUAUCCCUUUAGUAGUAUUAGAGUGCACGGUUAGUAGAAUCUAAGAAAAUUCUAGAAACCUUAAACAUGGGUUACACGUGUUUUUAUCAAAAGAAAAUUUUCUUUAGAAACCCAAACUUAGCUCUAUUUUUUUUAACUUUACUUUCCCUUGGUUUUAUUGCAUUUGCUUUAUUUUGAGCCGUGGACUUAAUUGAGAUCAAUGGAAGAAAGAAAUCCAUUUUCACCUUGAGAUUUUUGCUGAUCCAUUGGGGGAGCACCUGUUGCCAUUGAGGCACUAUUUUUCGUCGUUACGACUCCUACUGGGCAUUCGCCUACCCCUUUCUUUGUUUUUCUCCCACAGAAUAUAAUAGGAGCGUGUCAACAGUAGGCCGGAUAGAGCUUACAACAGACUUUGGAAGCAUUAAGUGUUAGUAUUUUGCGGACUAUAUGGUGUGUGUAUCACGGGGCUAAUCUGGGGUUGUUUGUGUAGUUACUAAAUCGUGUUCUACUAUUUCAUUUCAUGUUUUGCUACUAACAAAUAUGCUAAGAUAUUUUCAAAGUUAGUGUAUGGUUUGUAAGUGGGAACUUCAUUAUGCCGAUGACUUAAAGGUCUAAUUUUAUUUCUUUUAUUUUUGGUGUCUAUUUUCUGUGUUCUUUUUAAACUUCUACUUGUAUGUUACGAAGGUAUAAUUUUUCCUUGUACUAUUUGGCUAUGUCUUCAACUGAUAAAUGAGUAGUAUGAAUGACGUUAAAUGCUAGUUGGUUUUUGCCUCAA